rnacentral:lncRNA from 1 species
ACGCAUAUAUAUAAGAAGCCAAGAGCUCCUAUUCUCUUCAUCACAACAUCAAAGUCAUCAAGAACUUUCACCAAAUCUCUUAUAACAAUUUCCCAGCAUCAAAUUAUGGAUAACAACUUCCCAUUUUCACCAUCACAACCAUCUUCCUCUGAGCACAGUUACACCAUAGUGAUAUUCGUUUUCUCAACGUUCGGUUGCAUUUUACUUGGCCUAGCUAUUCUUGCUUACUGGUGCUACUUGAAGAAAAAGAAGAAGAGCACAAUACUAGUGGAAGAAAAAGAAUUAAAACACAUUGAUGAUCAUCUUAAGAUCAAGGAAGAAAUUGUUGAAGGACCUCAUGGGAAACUUGAAACAAUAGUACUCUCUGUGGAAGAAGAUUUGCAUGAAAAAGAUGACAUUGUAAGGACAAAGAAAGAGUUAGAAGAAGUUCAUCAUCAUAACUUAUUGCAUGCCAAGAAUAAUCCUUCAGAAAUUACACCUUCUGCUCUUGAAGCUGGCCAUAGACAAACUUGCGCAUUAUAAAUUCAUGAUUUAUUUUCAUUUUAUGAAUAAGUGACAAGUAAUGAGAAUCACUAUUGUAUAAACUUAUAAUUAAGUACUCGUAAUUCUUUUAACGUUUUAAUUUCUUCAUUCACUUCUGUCAUGACCCUUUUAAUCCAAAUUGAAAAAACCUUACCAAUCCCAUCAUCAUUUCUUUCCACCACCAACGCUUAUACAACCACUUCUUUACAGACUAAUUUUAGAUGAAAAUCAAGACAAGAAUAUGGAGAUAAUAAGUCAAAUGUAGGUUUUCAAGUCUCUUAAGGCUUGUUGAUGCUCCAUUGUCCAUUCAAAGUUUGCUACUUCCUCACACUAUUUAAACAAGUCGAAAUCUGUUCGGGAUCCCUUUGCCGUUUGGACUACAACGACAUUUUAGACCACAGCCAAACGUUGUUCCUCAGUUAUUAUUAGCAAAACUGACAAACACAAAAUCAAUGGAUUAUUAGUGCUUUGGAAUGAUCACAAUUGUCAGGUGUGCACAUUGAGCGCCAAACUAUUUAACCUAAAAUUUAAUUAUUAGAUCAAUCAAUUAAAUUAUUUAGAAUGUGGUUGCAACCAACAUAUCAGUCCAAAUUGUGUUAACCCUUUGAUAGUGUGAAUAAAACGAGAUCAAAGUAAUUAAUAUGAAUAGCAGUGCAAACAAUUAAAGCAAACUAUUUGAUAAAGUAAGAGAGAGAAAGAUUCUUAUUUAUUUUCUUGGCUUAAACGAUGAAAAUUCUUGAUGGUGAGUGAUUGAACAGUUGUGUUUAUAGAUAAUAAUCAAAAAAAUCUGAUACAAUGCUAAAAGAGAGGCUCAAUGUCGAGAAGAAGAGAAGUAUCUCACAGUUGAAUUGAAGGGUAGUUAUUAUUCUGCACUAUCCUAGAGCUAGUUACUACUCACUACUUAUUACUGUUCACAGUUAGUUAGACAGUUAAGAGUAGUUAGAAAGAGCUACUGCUGAAGCUUGUAUUAGUAGUUACAUUCAGUUGAUGUGAGGUAGUAGUAGAAGUAUAAAUAGUGAUGUAAUAGCACAAAUUACAUUCAUUCAGAAAUAAUACAAUUUCUUCUGUUUUCUCUUAUUCUACAUUUCUCUAAUCAACUAAUUAUUUCUCGGAUUCUUCCCUGAGUUGGUUAACAAUCUUUUUUGAGAUCGUUCUCCUAGAUUAACUUUCUCCAUUCAAAUCGUUGUAUCAAAAUCAUGAGUAAUAGGGUGAAUAUUAGAUCUAUACAAUAGUGAAAAAGUUGUGGGGUUUUAUAGGGUAGCUAAGAGUAAAUGCUUCUGUAAUCCUCUCUUGUUUCAGCCUUUACAUGGAUAAGAUCAUGGGUGUUUUAAUGGAAUUAAAUGGAGUCCUAGGUAUCUCGAGGCUAAUCCAUUUUCUAGGUUAUCCCUUGUUCGUGCACUUCAAAUUUUCCCGGAUAGACCGUUGGGGCUUCUACUAUCCCUUGUUAAUUAAUGAAGCUUGUCUGAGACAGGUGAUGCUUAUCAGACGAUCUAACUAGUCUUUGGUUUGAUUGACGUCGAUCAAUUCAGUAGUUAAUCCUGGUCUUCUUUACGCUUGCUACGUGUGUUUGGUCAGACAGUCUUCACUGCCGAUAUACUUUUACCAGUACAGCUAGGAGAAUAUGCCACAAAGCUACUACAAUAGACGCUCUCAAAUCUUCCUGAUCAAUUUCCACGUCUUGCACUGUAGGACGAUACUAAUCAUCAGUCAAGCAAAAUAAUAAUUAAGGGAAUGGGAGUAGGGCAAAGAGUGUUUUCUACUGCAAUCAGAAUAUUAACCUAAGAUAAAGUCCUCCUAGUCUUUAUAUUAGAGCCAAGUCUCUGCUUACUUGAAAGCAUACCCCAAAACAGAUUUUUAAUAACUUAAAAAAACGAAACACAAGAAAGAGACUAAGGAAAAGAACCUUAGGCAUAUUCAACACUUAUAAAUAAGCAGCCAAACACUCUUUUUCUCUACAUUUACAACGUCAAAAGUCAAAAUUUACAACAAUUUCCCAAGAUCUUAACUAUGAAUAACGAUUUGAAUAACUUCCCAUUCCCAUAUUUCCCUNNNNNNNNNNNNNNNNNNNNNNNNCCAAAACCCCACCCUCCUCCUCGUCCUCAUCCUCCACCUCAUCCUCGUCCUCAUCCUCCUCCAUAUGUUCCACCAUCACCAUCACCACCACCACCACCACCACCACCUCACAAUUACAUUAUAAUAAUAUUUGUUUUAUCGACAUUCAGUUGCAUUUUACUUGGUCUAGCUAUUCUUGCUUUCUGUUGCUUUUUGAAGAAAAAGAAGAAGAGCACAGUAAUAGUUGAAGAAAAAGAAGUGAAACACAUCGAUGAUCAUCUAAAAAUCAAGGAAGCAAUUGUUGAAGGACCUCAUGAGAAGCUUGAGACAACAGUGCUCUUCGUGGAAGAAGCUUUGCAUGAAAAAGAUGAUGUUGUAAGGACAAAGAAAGAGUUAGAAG